CUGUGAAGAGUCCUCAGUUUGGGAACUCAUAUGCCUCGGUUUACCACAGCUCUGAUAUGCUGUCCUUCUUGGAGCACACAGCCAUUCCUCCUAGGCAUAGUUUAAUAAAGUGAAGAGGGGGAGAAAUGAAGGAAAUCUAUGUUAUUAUAUGAGAUGAUUAGCAGGCUGCUAAUUUGUUUGUGUCUCCCAAGGCACACAUAUGUCAUUGGGGUCGAGCAGAUCAAAGAAGCUCUCAAGAUAUUUAGUGUACAGGAGUAUAUAUCAGAACACAAGGCAUAGUAACAGCGGAGGUGUUCCAAGUCUGUACAUUUGAAUAAAGGGAAACCAUCCUGCAUACUCACUCUUUGCACAGGGGUUUACAUUUCUGGCCUCCUGGAUAAGGAAAGGCUGAGUAUCAGGGAGAGGCAGAGUUCCUAUAGGAUGCGAGAGGAGAAUGGGAUACAUAGAGCAUGCCUACGCAUCCCUCGAAGACGUCACUCUAUCUGGGAGCCAAAAGGUAAGGGAGUGGGUUUGCUGACUGUGACACACAGUGGGAGGAGAUCGGAGACACAAAGGAGUCAUGGGUGUGAACCAGGAAACAAGCCCGUGCCCACCCAGCUUUUUGUUUGCUUGAGGAGGAUGUAAAAUAUGCUUACACCAGUUGCGCUCCAGCGCCAGCGCUAAUUGUUAACAAUAAAAGGUCACUAGAAAACAAUUGCUGGGAACUGGAAUUACACAAGGGGCCUGGGUAAUGUGAUCGUUCCUUCGUUCCUUCGUAUGAGAAUGCCAUCCUGUCAGGGAACAGGGCAUGCAGCGAUCCUGUGGAGUGACUUGCUAGCUCAGAUGAGGAAGGGAGGUGUACAGCUCUGUCAGUCAGACCUACCCCCUUCAAUUCCCUCCUCCCAGAUGCACACGCUCACACCAAGUAGCCUCGUUCAAGCAUAUUUAGCCCUUCUUUUAGGGAGUUUAUAUGUAAGGUAAAAUACAGUUCUUUUUCCUAUUAUCCAUGAGGAAAAUACUGACUUUGAUUUCCUUUCAUAUAGCAGAACGGGAACGGGGUGCUCAGUGGUGGUAGGUUUGCACAAAAAGAACCACCGCUGCCAUAGGAGGGAGGAAGGAGGUGAAGUGGAAGGUUGUUAGCACAACCCAAGGUAAAAAGAGGGAGGAACCUCUGAAAGUAUCAUACUUCCUCCCAAAAUACAUUCAUAAUUCAGUCAAGGGUGUGAGUACUGCUCAGGAAGAAAUCUCUGACCUAGCAUUAAAUUCAUAUGUAUAGACACCAGUAACAGUACCACAGGCUGAAAAAUCCUGCCAGUAUGUCAAAUGAGUACAUUGGCAACCCAUCCCAUCCAAAAUCUGUGCUGUUAUGGCUCUCUGGCUCUCACUGCUAAACUAACCAGUAAAAAGCUAGCUUGUGUAUGUCUGCAUGUCCUGUGAGCACACCACAGGCUGCUCUCUGGACAUCUCAUCACUUUAACCCUUCAGGAGCAAGCAAAGUUAAAAAAUGUCUGAACAACCUAGAGAUGCUUUUAGGCCACGUCUACACUGAGGAACAGCCUAACUGUCAAACAGAGGCUGACUCCAGGCCACUCAGCAGUCAGUAACAGGUCUAGCUACAAAAAUGCUAACCCCAUGUGUAGGUAGAGGCACUGCUGAGAACUCCGCAGCUGAGCUGCCUCAGACCAUGCCUGUCUUGCCUUCACUCCAGGGCCACACAAAUGCAGCUAUUUACAAGGAGGACAUUAGACAAUUAUUCACCUUUUCCUCUAUCUUGCCCUUUGAGAGGGUUUAUGUGUAUCCAGCCAACUCUCAGAUAAAGUCCUGGAGCCUGAGCUUUCAGUAGCUGUACCCAUCCAGGACAGCACAACAUGCCUUGCUGCUCCCAGAGAUACUUCCCUCAGCCACUGCAAGCUCUUCUCCAGCCCUUCAUAUCCAAUUCCUGCAAACAGACUUUAUAGCCAGGGAGAGAGAACUCAGAUCACAGGAUAGAUACGCAUGAAAAAAUAGUUGUUGGAGAAAGUGCACAACUGUUUUCCCUUUCUCUAGUCACUGCGUAUGUCUGAACCCCACCAUGCAGUUUUGAAGCUCUACUCUUUGGUGGUGGGGCCCAAACUCUGUUAAAAAAGCCACUGCCAAAAAAGUUUCCCCAAAUCUCCAUCAACUGUAGAGACCAUGGUGAGGAUGUAAUGCCUUACAAAGAAGGGAACAGAUGACCAAGUAUCUGUUCUGGAGAUGUUCAGUACAGAUAAGUUUCUCAAGAAAGCCACAGGAUUAACAUGUAGUGUAGCAAGAUAGGAGUAAUAUGCUGUCAAGCAACACCGUAAGAGAGGUUAAAUGGUUUCUGUGAGAAGAACGUUGAAUUUUCAAUCCUUCCCACAUGCAGUUUCCUCAUAUCAUGCAGUUUCCUCAUAUGAAGGAUUUUGCUCUAUGUAGACAAGGAGAGUUCAAUGAAUGCCAAGGAGCAUCAUCUUGUCCUUUAUGGCUGUGAGAAAUGGAAGAAAAAAAGGGAAGAGAAACGGUCUGGUUGAGAGAAAAGCAAGAUUAGUUUGGGUCCAGGUUCUCACUGUCUUUGUAGAAAGUGGAGAAGAAAGACCUAUCAUUCCCUUUCAAGACCACUGUCAUAAAUGAUAGCUCCCUUGCUGGUACUGUGAUUAAGAGGGAGGUGCUGGGGCAGCAUCUGUUGCUGGGUGCCAGACAUGUGCUAGUGUCAGAACUGAAGCCGCUGCAGCAGGUCCUGGGGCCAUGCAGAUGUUGGGGCUGUGAUGUGGCAGCACAAGUGUGAGGAAAGAGAUUAAAGAUCCAGCAGUCUCUAGGUGACACUGAUACUGUGAUGCUCCAUGAAUCUGGCCACGUCGUGUCUGGUUUGGUCACAGCACCAAGAAAGACACAGAUAAGCUGAUGAGAGUCCAGAGUAUUACAGGAAUCAUCACAGGUACAGCAAACAUUAUCUUGGGAGGAAGAAUGAACAAAUUGUGCUUGCUCAGUGUAAAGAAGAGGGGAUGGAGGGAAUACUGAGAAUGUCUUUAAAUACCUAAGGAGUUGGUACAAAAAGCAAGAGAAUAAACCUGUGUUGAAUCUGUGGUGAGCUGCAGUGGUAGUAAGAGAUUUAAGUUGAAACAAGGAAGAUUCUUGUUAGACACCAAGAAAAAAAAACCUUUCUGAUAGUAAGACUAUGAAGCCCUGUAAUGGAUUGUCUCAGGAAAUUCUGGAGACCCUAGGAUGGGAUGCCUUUAAGAGUAGGAAAACAGCAGUCAGGAAGGACAACGAUGUAGCUGAUACUACUUGUGGAUAACCUCCCAAGUACCUUUCAUGUUGUAGACACGUAUUAAAAUGAAGAAGAGGAAAAAUCUAUUUUCUGAUGAGUUUCCCAUUCAUUCCCGCCGCUGCCUGCAUUACUUUUCAUUCUAACUGCAUUAAAAUGCACAAAAUCACUUCUCUGUUAAUGUAUGACUGUAUAAUAAAACCCAUGAGUUAGGAAAAAGCAGAUCUUGUGAAAACAGAGGACUUGAAAAUUUUGUACUUUUAUCGAAAAAAAUCAUUUUACAGCACUCCAUGUUCAGCCUAUAAAGUUCAAAAGCUGUAGGAUGAGUUUUACAUUUUGAAACAUUUACUUUUUGAAGAACUACAAAGAUGAGUCUUAAUGUACAGAUUUCUGAAUUAAUAAAAAUACUCAAAUGUCUUUGUCAGCAGGGUCAUGAAACUGAAGCCAGAAUGCCAUUAAACAAAAGAUAAAAUAUUGGAUGAAAUGCCCCUGCCUUUACUGGCAUUUUUUUAGGAGCACUGCCAUUGAAUACAGAGAUGAAAAAAGUAGGAGAUGAUCUUGUCCCCAUUUCUUACCAAAGGAUAUACUGAGUGAAACAGGUCCAGUUUUUUCGCACAUACUUUUGAUGAGGAAAAGAUCUUUAUGACAGUAAAUGUAGAUACUCAUUGUUAUAUUUAAGGCUGAAUUCCAGCUUCUGUCCUAAGCCUUACCUCAUCCUCCUCUGUAUUUUUAGCUGCUCAGAACUUUUUGAAACAGUUCCAUUUGUGAUUAAAAUUGUCACAUUUGCUCUUAUCACAGAAUUAAUUUGGCUUAAAAAGAAUGCAUGCUACACUGAAUAACCUUUUUAUUUUUAAUUAUUGGGAUAUCCAUUAACUGCAAAGUGAAAUGAAGCACUGGCAUAGCUCCGAAAUAACAAACUAGAAACUCUAGAUACCUCUAAAAGAGAGCUCCAAAACAAAAGCAGGCCUUAGACCAUGACUGGAUCUGUAAGGGUCCACUGCCCACCUCACCUUUUAUGAGCUCAAGUCCCACACUCGUAAUAGAGAUCUCAGCAACUCGUUUACAUUUGGAAGAAAAAAACUCCACAGUUCAGAAUGUUAAAAGCAUUUAUCUCCUAGAAAGUACUAAUGUGGCUGCAGAUUUGUAAUCUCAGCCUUUACCGUCCCAGAAGGGCAUGCACAUGAGUGAACACUAGUAACCUCUUAGGUAUGGCCCAAAGAAGUGAUGCCCCAUUCUGACUGUGUUCAUAGAUCCUGCAAUCACAGAUACCGUCAUGCCAGGAGACUCAGGAGAUGAAUUAUUUGAAACCUGAUGAUGAAAUCCUACUUGAAGUCAUGGUGGGGGGAAAGUAUGGGUAUUCAGAUCUGGCUUUUCAGCUGUUUCCUUCAGUGAGUAGGCGGUAAGCUUUAUGCUCACCAUCUAUAGCCCUGGGCUUCAAGUGUUGUGACUGAAGAAAAGCCUUUUCAGCACCUGCAGAUUUGGACUUUCUAAAAAGGGCAGGAACACCACCACCACCACCCCCCAACAACAGAGACAUCAGUGAGAGCCUCACAGCCAGGUCUAUGCAGAACCAGGGCCCAUUUUGAAUAAUCACUCUUAGAACCUGAAGUUUUCUGCUCACACAGAGCCUGAAAUAUAGUCCUAACUUCCCAAGAGACCAGAUUUCAGGAGCCUGAAGGAAAAUAAAUUACUAGAUUGGUAGCAACCACGGUCUACAUCGUAAGCAGUUAUUGUAAGAUUAGUGUUUUUUGAGGGGAGAGGAGAUUUGCAGUAUUUAUCUAACAUAGAAAUGUGUGUAUGCAUAUAUGACUCUGCUACCUGUAAGCAGAAGACAGCUUAACCAAAUUCCCUUCCUCAGGGCACAGCUUGCCAAAUGCAAUGCCUGGCCCAUCAUGUGUGCAAAUCUUCAUCGUCAAACAAGAACUUUCUCUGGCUGGAAAGGAGUGACUUGUAGUGCAAAGCAUGCCAGCGUAUGUCAGCAGUAUUACUCCCUUGGCACUGCUCCUCCCUGUUAAUUGUAGAGUAGAAAACGUUCUUCUUCAGGCUUUUCCUCUAACUACCCCUGUGAGACAGCCAGAAACUGUGGACAUUUGUGUGGAGAGAAUUUGGCAGCUGAAACUCAUGGAAGCCUGGCUCUGGCAUGAGCGCUUCUAACAGCAGCAUCUGGACCUCUGGGUAACUUCCUGACUGAUCUCCUGCCUCAGAUGGGAGGCCAACCACUAAAAGUGCACAAAACAUGAUUGGGGGGGGAAGGGCAGAGGCUUGGACAUUUCUUAUGGUUUCAAAAAUAGCAGAGCAAAUCCAAACACAUUGGCAGACUGCAUGUAAUUUCAAAACUCAGUGGGAAAGUGCCUUCUCUCGAUGAUUGUCUUGCAGAUUCCCCGCGUUGAUUUUCUGUCUGUUCCAGCAGCAAAGCCGCAGCUGCGACCUCACUUAGAGAAACACGUGAAUUCAGAGCUCAAACAUGAGUGCAUUGCUGGUGCGUAGUGAACAGCUCAUUGGCUCAAUUUACAGGGACAACUGCAUCAAAAUACUGCGAUGUUUGCAGAGUCAGUCUGCAGUUUGGUUGUAUGGGGAGAUAGGGGAGUUGUGUAUGUGUCAUUUUCCUUGUUUCUCCAUUCAGAAGCUUUGUUUUGCUUUCCUAAACACAAGCAAAACAAAAGCAAAAAUGCUCCUGGUUAGAUUACUUCCCGUCUGUGCAUAUGUAUAUGUGUGUGUGUGUGUGUGUGUAUAGCUAUAUGUGCGUAGGAGAGGCUUGCCUUCAACAGCAAAUGGGAGUUUAGUCUGUGCUGACCUAUAGGCUACAGAUGAUGGCAUAGUUAAUGGGUUCUUCUUUCACCCAAACAAGUCCAGCUUGCUGUGUUUGACUCAUUCAUUGGUUAGCCUUUGGACUAAUAACAUAGUUGAACGUUGCUGCCUAUCCAAUGACCCACCUAGAGAUAACUAUGUAGGAGAAGCCAGAGCACUAAUGUACAGGGCCUAACCCAAGUGGUAAUAUGCUAUUCCAGUGUCCCAUUCCUGCACAGGGAAUGUGUACAUCCACCUUCUGUACAUCCAUCCCUCUGUACAUCCACCUUCACCACCAGGUCUGAGCACUCAGAUGCAACAAAGCAUCUAUAACAUUACUUGGACCAGGUGAAUCAUCUCUCCUGCACGCCAACACCAUAUAGAUACACAGAAAAAAAACCAUACAAGGACUUGCAAACUGCACAAACCACACAUCAUACAAAAAUCACUCACUUUGAUUCACCAUUUCUCCAUUCAUCACAGGGAAGACUGACAUUUUCUGAAUAAUAAAUACAAAGUAUUUUGUAAGUGGAAAAUAAAUGGCUUCAGAUAAAAACUCUCCAUUGAUUUCUCUUGCCCUUCUGCUACUCCUUCUUUCCAUUACCAUUUUUUACCUUGUCAUUAUUGUGUAAGAGUGAGGAGAAGAACAGAAGAAUAAGAAAACCCAAAUGCUGAUAUCCAAGAUGUACACUGUAUCCAAAGACUCUGCAGCACAAGUACAAAGUUGAUUUUCUACCAUGACGAUAAAGAAAGGAGGUGUGCUAAAGGGGGCGAAGAGUCUUUUUACAAUGAGAAACUUGUCAAAGACAGCUUCAUUACCAGACAAAAACACAGAGAGUUCAAAAAUAUUUCUUUAAAUGGUCAGGUACAGGGUAGAAGGACGAAGUCAGGACUUAAAAGCAUUCCUCCAAAAUGUGGCAAAUAGAUUUUGAAUUCUGAUCAUCUCUGGAGUGUCAGCAGGUGAUUAAUUCAUCUGCAUCCUGGAAGGAAGACUUUUUAACAAUGUCCACACAUAGGACAUAGCAUUGCUUACAAGAAACACUGGCAUACUUCAGUCACUAGGCAAUUCUUGCUGGGCCAUGAAGGUAAAUUAGUGAUGCCCUUACUAACAAAGUUUUUGACAUCUUUGCUUUACAAUAAGCAAUGAAGCCUUCGUGUCUCAGAGAGACAAUCCUCCCUAUAGAUGUCAUGCAAAGAGUGAGAUUGUAAUAUCUUAAAUUUUAUUCCAGGUUUGCCUGAUAAGUGGGUGGCAAUAGUUACAGGCCGAUUUGUGCUUUUCCAUCAUGCUGUCUAGACAUAUUUGCAAGCACUGCUUUGCCUUGAGGAGGAAAGGGUAUAUCAUAUAUUACACAAUAAUGGGUUAUUUUAAACUUGUAAUGCAUUAAGAGGCUGUUUUCAAUCAGAAACCAUUUGAUAUGAGGGUAUGUUCCAGACAAUAAAUGGAAAAAGUGGAGCGUAUCCUUUUUUUUUCACACAGGAGACAAUACCCAUACUUUCCAUAUAGACAGGAAAUGGCUUAGGUUUAUAUAUAGAAAUACAGUAUAUUUUAUAUGCAUACAUAAUGUAUUGAUUUAUUAAAAAAAGACUCUGUGUCUGGUUGAAGCUGCAAAAUCAAUAUACACCUAUGUAAAUAUUUUAAUACAGCCCAGAAAAGAUGAAACUGGAAUCCUUAAGAGAGAUUCCUUCCCAUCAGACUCUGACAGGGGCCCAACGUGACGUGUGCAGUGCAGAGGGUCGUGUGUUGUUCAGCAGCCGCUCGGAGACGCUGAAUCUGCUUUGCUCAGCGUCUGCAUAUUGCAAGGGACUGUCCCACCUGGCUCCCACAAGAGCUCUUGGGGGCACCGCAGCUCCUCCCUGCCCCACCAGCCCUAACUGCGAUAUCCAUGCUUGCUCCUCCCUGGCACCGGACCCAGCAGGGCUGGGGCUGGGGCCCAGUUUGCCUUGGGGCUGUGAGACUCCCCGAGCCUGUCCCCCAGGCUGCCUCCCUCGUGAGAUGGUGAGAGGUGCCACGGGCUUCUCGGGAAUAAGCACCUCCAUGGGAGAGCGGUCUGCUGCGACAGCAGGACCACGUGUUGUGGCAGACAACAUCUCCUGUCGAAGGAGCAAAUAAAAUCACUUUCUUAGAGGGUGACAGUUUCCAGGCCACUGCUCAGUUUUGCUUUUUUCCUCUCCAUUGCUCUGUGCACCUGCAGCUUCCUGAGGACACAGACGUUGCCAUGGCGGUGAGCGACUCCUUGCUUUCUGGAGUCCAAACAACAUAAGCAGUUAGAAAAGGUGUGUUUUACCAGGGCUGCUCUGUAAUCUAACAGUGCUAAGUCACUUUUUGACUCUCGCUUUCUGCAGGACGUAUUUGCAUUGCUUUAGAAAGGUUUGCCACCAGUCUAAGAGAUUAGGAAGGCUAGGAGAUACGUGUUUAAACCUAUGCUCAUUUCAAAUUGCAUGAAUUCCUGCUCACCAGACUAUGAUCCAGAGUCAGACAUUAUGGUCAGAUUAUUUAAUACAUUAGCAAAAGUGAAUUUGACGGACACAAUCACCAGCUGGUUGUGAUCUGAUAAAGCUGUCUCAGGAAAAACACAGUAAUGAGCCAGAACAGGUAUAUUUAUUUCUUUCAGGCAGUGUAAACAGACCUGUGUUUACUUUUUUACAAAGGGCUUUUUUCCUAUGCUACCAACAUGUAUUCUUUCACUUGACUUGGUAUGUGUUGGGUGUUUUUGUUUGUUUGUUUCUGCAUAUGCUAAAAGCCUUAACUGGGUUCUUCAGUCCUGCCAUUCAUCUGAUGCUGGUAUUAAACAUUUUCAGCUUCUUCAAGCCUUACAUGACCUUCUGGUCCUCUGUAAUAUUUUUUUAAAAUAGUUUUAAAGAAGGAAGGAAAAAGUACAGUGAGAGCACUUGGCUACUUCCAGUUGCAACCCCUAAUGGCUUUGGUUUGCAAAGUUUCACAAAUACUAUUACAGAGAGAAAAUAAAUCUCUCUCUACCAUGAAGCUGUGGCGUUGUAGAGGACCGGUUCUCUACAUGCGGUUUUGUCUCAACAUUGCUGCUGCAAAGCCGCUGCUGCCAAGGCGCGUCGGGCAAUGCCGCGCCGGCGCCCCCGGGAGCCGUCCACGAGGUAAACAACCUCGUGCACCUGCACGAGGUAAAAAGGGCGCGAAAAAAGGGCAGAAGGUCGUCUCUAGGACAUGAACUGCACGUACUCAUUUGCCAUCUGCGCAUGAGCAGGAGACCCCCAGAUGCCCCAGCCUGUUUCUGGAAGGUUCUGAGAAGGCAGACUGUGCAUGACAGUUAAUCUGCAUGGGAAGCGAGGAAGCAUCUCCCAGAGGUGGGGCAAGAACCUAUAAAAACUGCAGACUGUGCGAAGGGGCGGGGGGGGGGCUUGCUUGCGACGACUGAGGAACUCGAGCGGAGUCAGUGGAACCAGACGGGAGCUUCCCGCCGCUGCCCUCCGCCGCCACAGAGACUCCCAAGAGAAGAGGACCAACGGGACGCCGCUGGAUCCAUGGGUUGAACUAUACUGAAAGGCCCUUCCCUCUACUGCAAAAGGGUCUUUUUUUUCAUAUCACACUCCAGGAGAGCAAAGAUGGUGCCAGGGCAGCUACAACCACAGCUUCUACUGGAUCGGUGCCUGACUGAGGAAAGCAGGAAUUCAGGACUGCAGUCUCCAAGGCCUCUGACUAAACUCAUUAAAACUUGGACACAAAUAUUAAGCGGUUAGAUGCGUUGGCCCCGAUUCCCUCUCCUACCCAGACUCUGGCAAAUGCUUGGGAGUUUCCCCCCCGGGUCCUGAAUCUGGAGCUGCUGGGGUGUGAUUCAGUCCCAGGAGCAUGGCAGGGCAACUCUUCCGUAUCCUCACCUGAGUAACCUGGACCAGGCAGAGCAUGGGCUGGGUUUCCUAAACCAGGCUCCAGGUUACCUGCACACAAUUUCAAGCCCCAGGCUGCCAGAGAGGAUGAUUUUGUGGGUGUUUUGUAUCACUGGUUAAUUCAUCUAGGUUCUAUUAAAAGACCCCAAAGACCUAAGGAACAGUGUAGAACACUAACAUCGGUAAAACAUUGAAGUUCAAAAUGUUUCAACAAAUUUCACUUGUAUUAAAAUAUAAGGGGUUCGUGGAUUGCUUUUUUAACUUUUAAAUGUAAAGGUACAUUUAAACAUAUCA